rnacentral:rRNA from 1 species
CUACGGGUGGCUGCAGUGAGGAAUAUUGCACAAUGGGGGGAACCCUGAUGCAGCAACGCCGCGUGGAGGAUGACGCAUUUCGGUGUGUAAACUCCUUUUAUAUGUCAAGAAAAUGACAGUAGCAUAUGAAUAAGCACCGGCUAACUCCGUGCCAGCAGCCGCGGUAAUACGGAGGGUGCAAGCGUACUCGGAAUCACUGGGCGUAAAGGACGCGUAGGCGGGUUGGAAAGUCAGGUGUGAAAUCCUACAGCUUAACUGUAGAACUGCACUUGAAACUUCUAAUCUAGAGUAUGGGAGGGGAGAUUGAAUUAGUGGUGUAGGGGUAAAAUCCGUAUAUAUCACUAGGAAUACCUAAAGCGAAGGCGAUCUCCUGGAACAUUACUGACGCUAAGGCGUGAAAGCGUGGGGAGCAAACAGGAUUAGAUACCCGGGUAGUC